GACCGGUUUCGUCGUUCAACAC
rnacentral:miRNA from 1 species